AAUGGGGCGCAGCCUGAUCCGCAUGCCGCGUGUGUGAAGAAGGUCUUCGGAUUGUAAAGCACUUUCGGCGGGGACGAUGAUGACGGUACCCGCAGAAGAAGCCCCGGCUAACUUCGUGCCAGCAGCCGCGGUAAUACGAAGGGGGCUAGCGUUGCUCGGAAUGACUGGGCGUAAAGGGCGCGUAGGCGGAUGACAUAGUCGGGCGUGAAAUUCCUGGGCUCAACCUGGGGACUGCGUUCGAGACGUGUUGUCUUGAGUUCGGAAGAGGGUCGUGGAAUUCCCAGUGUAGAGGUGAAAUUCGUAGAUAUUGGGAAGAACACCGGUGGCGAAGGCGGCGACCUGGUCCGAUACUGACGCUGAGGCGCGAAAGCGUGGGGAGCAAACAGGAUUAGAUACCCUGGUAGUCCACGCUGUAAACGAUGUGCGCUGGAUGUUGGGUGACCUAGUCACUCAGUGUCGUAGCUAACGCGAUAAGCGCACCGCCUGGGGAGUAC
rnacentral:rRNA from 1 species